AUGAUGAGGAAAAAUUUAUUGGAAUUUAUGAUUACAACGUAUGAUAGUAGUGGAAAGCGAUUUAUUAUUCGGCCAAAUACUGAAGGCAUCAGUGUGCUUAAUGAAGAUAUUUAUGACAUAUUCGGGCUACGUAACGAGGGUGAUGAUGUCAGUAUCAUGAUAGCAACAGUACAACUAGAUGCCAAAAAAAUUGUUUCGAAUCGGUUUCUAGACAAAAGAACAGACCUAAUCCUCAUCGAUGAGUUGAUAAAAAAUAUUGUCGAUACUCAGUCAUAUGAUGAUGAUUUUGUGAGAAGGGUCGUACUGGUUCUUAUGGGUACCGUCUUAGCACCACAAUCCACCAAGUUUGUUCCUUAUCGUUAUUACAAAAUGGUGGAGGACGUGAACGCUAUGAAGUCAUACAAUUGGAACGAUUUCACGUUGGGGGUGUGCAUGGAUGCUAUUAAAAAAUUGGUCGAAGAUCUUGAAAAAUUCAAGUGGCUUAUCGAGAACUUGGCUCUUCUUCAGUAUAUAUACUGGGAAAAAGUUGAGCCAAUUGGUGUGGAUACAUUUGAUCCUUUGUCUCGUGAAUACCCACUAAUGCUUAACUGGCCAGAAACGGAAGGGAAAAAGCGAGACGACUAUGGCAACAUGCACGGGCGUGGCACCGGCAAUAUUGAAAACUGCGUUAGUGAAGAGUACAGACGUGCUAAGGUAGCACGUGAAGGGAUUGUCCCAGAGGAAGAAACGAAGAAACCUAAACGGAAAGGUGGUGGCAGGAGUAGAAAGCCAAGCACGUCCGCGGUUUCAUCGAACACGACUUGUAGUAUGGACCGUGAGAUGACAUACAUAAAGCUGCUUCACAAGGAGAUGGUAAUGGAAAGGUUGAACACAGUGAGUGUGCUGUACAAACCCAAUAAGAGGGACAACAAUGACGAAUUUGAUAAUGUAGGUGAAGGAGUUGGGAUGGAGAAUGGCCAGUACAAGUCAUCAAAAUAUUGGCCAGAUAUUGAUUCACCUACCGACGUAAAGGUAGGAACAUCUUUCACGGGUAUCAAUGAUACCUCCGUGCCUGUUGAUGACACGGGUGCUCCGGCGACGACACCGGGUAAAGGUGAAGCUACUGAUCCUUUCAUUAUAGACGAUAAAGGAAACUCUCCAUCUUCAGCAUCAACUGUACAUACAAAAGACUUUCCGUCUAUGUCCCGAACCCCGUAG
rnacentral:rRNA from 1 species